rnacentral:rRNA from 1 species
AGUCAACAUGCCCAGGGGACGUGGAUAACCUCGGGAAACUGAGGAUAAACCGCGAUAGGCCAUGAUUUCUGGAAUGGUUCAUGGCCGAAAUCUAUAUGGCCCCUGGAUUGGACUGCGGCCGAUCAGGCUGUUGGUGAGGUAAUGGCCCACCAAACCUGUAACCGGUACGGGCUCUGAGAGGAGGAGCCCGGAGAUGGGCACUGAGACAAGGGCCCAGGCCCUAUGGGGCGCAGCAGGCGCGAAAUCUCUGCAAUAGGCGAAAGCUUGACAGGGUUACACUGAGUGGUUCCCGUUAAGGGGAUCCUUUGGCACCUUUAAAAAUGGUGCAGAAUAAGGGGUGGGCAAGUCUGGUGUCAGCCGCCGCGGUAAUACCAGCACCCCGAGUGGUCGGGACGAUUAUUGGGCCUAAAGCAUCCGUAGCCGGUACUGCAAGUCUUCCGUUAAAUCCACCUGCUUAACAGUUGGGCUGCGGGGGAUACUACAGCGCUAGGAGGCGGGAGAGGCAAGCGGUACUCAAUGGGUAGGGGUAAAAUCCGCUGAUCCAUUGAAGACCACCAGUGGCGAAGGCGGCUUGCCAGAACGCGCUCGACGGUGAGGGAUGAAAGCUGGGGGAGCAAGCCGGAUUAGAUACCCGGGUAGUCCCAGCUGUAAACGAUGCAGACUCGGUGAUGGGCUGGCCUUGUGCCAGCCCAGUGCCGCAGGGAAGCCGUUAAGUCUGCCGCCUGGGGAGUACGGUCGCAAGACUGAAACUUAA